rnacentral:lncRNA from 1 species
CAUAGUUUGUUUUGUUCUUUUUGCUGCUUUGUGGACGUAUUCGUACUAUAAAUUUUUGGGUUUGUACCUAAAUUGAUAUAUUCUCAUACAUAUUCCAUAUUUCCUUUGCUUUUUGAAUGUUUAGUACUCCAGUUUGUUUGUUGGUAAGGUGCAUAUGAGGAGUUCUGCAAAAAGAAAGGUAAUUCCCGAUUUUUCUUGACUUUGUGACAUGAUUUGAACUGACGUGUGUGAUUGAUGAGUAUAAUUUUGCCUUGACUUUUGGAGGUUGAACAAGCUUGUGAGGGAUUGAGCCUUAACUGCCCAUAUUUGCAGUUUGUUCUUUAUUUUGAGUGUUGUCAUGCAUGAAGUGCACUUCUAGAACUUGCCAUGGUUCUUGGUUGAGAUUGUUUGUUGUGCCCAAGAGUUUGAGAUGAUUUUAGGCCAUUUUUUCGUAAACCACGUUAUAUCCCAAACACUUUCCUAAAAAUAUUAUUCCCUUAUUAACCGUGUUUGAGCCUUUUUAAGCUUUGAUUCUUUAACCGGAUGAUAGGGGGUGAUGGAAUAUAUGGGGAUCAUUGUGUGGUAUUUGUUGUGGGUUGUUAAAUAAGGGGUGAAACAUGAUACUAGUCAUUCUUAUAAGCUCUAGAAAGAAAAAAAAANUAAUGAUGAAAGUUGGUUGAGAAAGUCGAGUGUAUAAUUAAAAAUUUCAUGGAUAGUCGACUUUGUUUGUUACUAGAAAAGUAAGAGCAUAAAAGAAUGUCUAGUUUUGAUUUAUGAUGAUUAUACCCAUUGGUUUGUGUUGAUUAUGGAGGUAUUAUUAGGUGGAAGAUGGAAUUUAUUCCAUGCUUGAAUGAUGAAGUUAUAAGGUUGGUGUAAUCAAUUUACUUUGAGUCACUUAACCCAAAAUUCCCUACCUAAUCCAAUGUCCCUACAUUAGAACUCAAUAUAAAGACCUAUUUGAUCUUACUCUUGGCACACUUUUAGCGAUGGAGAUUUGAGACAAUUGGCAAGCCUAUGGUAAGUAAUCUACAUUGCACGGGUUUCGAUGAAAAAUACACGUCAUUUUCCAUAAAUUUUGAGUUGAGUGAAACACUUUUAUCCUGAGAGUCAAUUGUUGGAAUGUCAAGGUUGAAUUUGUCAUUGAUUAUGCUUGUUGGUAAUGAUUGUGUUCAUGUGUUGAGGAUUUGAGGGAAUUCAAAAGUUUUAUUUUUCUGAGGCAUCGAUGAUCCAAUCAUCUUACCCAUUCGUGUUUAUUGUUUUGUUCUUCUCGUUGUUCGAGGAUGAACAACAUCUUAAGUUUGGAGGAGUUGAUAAACACUCAUUUUGCAUGGUUUAUAUUCUGCAGUUUAAGUCGAUUUUACGCCCGUUUUAUUAUUGUUUGGAGUUCAUUGUAUACUAUUUCAUAAUUUCACGGUCGGGUGUAGUUUUGGCUGUUUUGAUGCAGGAAUGAGUGGUAUUGGAGCAUGGAUUGUAAGGAACGUGCUUAAGAGAAGAGUUUUGAGAGAAUCGAGCCCGAAAAUCGAGAAAAGACGAAGAUUCUGAGGUCAGGACAAGUAGGAGGAAAAUCGGCGGUCAAAGGAAUUGAUCGCCGAAUUUCGGCCGUUUGAAGAACAAAAACGGCGACCAACUCGGCGAUCGCCGAGUUGGCCGCCGAGAUCCCUGGAUGAAUUUUGUGCUUUAUGGAGAAAAUUCGGCGACCACCGAAUUUAUGGUGUUUCAAGGGUAAAUUCGGUAACCUGAUCGGCGAUCGCCGAACAGGCCGCCGUUUUGUCCACGUGUUUUUAAGUUGUCUGCGUUUUUCCCUUUUUCAAUUUAUUUUCAAAUUAGAACUCUGUGUUUUACCCUAAGACUAUAAAUAGGUCUUCUUUUGACCUAUCUAGGGUUCCCAACUUUUAUUUUCAGUUUCAUAGCUUUAGAUUUUAUUGCUUUCCAGUUCUUAGAGCAUCGGAUUUUGAUUUCUGCAAGAUUGAAGAUUCAAGCUGUUAUAUUCAUUUACUACGGU